GUGCUUGUGCGGUAGCACAUACACUCAAACCGGAACGACACAGAGAAGAUGAGCACGGCCCUGCGUGAGGAUGACACGCAAACUCCUGACGUGCUCCACAUUUUU
ensembl:snRNA U6 U6 spliceosomal RNA